GCCCCCCGGGCUCAUCCACGGGACUUCCGGGAGGGCGGGGGACGUCACGUGACGAGCCGCACGCUCCCAGGGGCGGCGGGAUUCUGAGGACGGAGAAAACUUGGCUUCCGCGCGGUCCUAAGUCCGCCGUCUUCGCUGAUCUGAUGAGCUGUGUCUCUCACUAAAGGAAGGUCGCCACUCCCUACGCGGGACUGACCAGUAACGAAAGAAAGCUCACUGAUAUUUUGUAUGAGAAAAGUGAUCCAGAAUCCUGAGUCAUCUCAUAUCAUAACAGAGAAGGUUCUAACUGAGGCCUCAUUUCUGGUUUACUCAUGGUUCCUAAGGUGCCCAUGGAGACCAGACAUGUCAUAUCCCCUUGGAUCCAGGGACAUGUGAGCUACCUGACUUUGUUACUGGGAUACAUCCACCGCAAAACCAGCACAUGCUCUCAACCGCCGAAUCAUCUCUCCAGCUCAAGACACUUACUUCUAAUAGCUACUUUUAAGAAAAUGCUGGAUAAUAUUUGGAACUGUCUGAACAGUUAUACACUUCCAACACUUAAAACUGAAUUUACCUUUAACAUACUUGAUUUCUUUUUUUAAUUGGUUCAGUUGUCUUUAGACAGCUCCAA